rnacentral:tRNA from 1 species
AGGGGUAUGGCUUAGAGGCAGAGCAUGUGCUUGGCUUACACAAGGUCCUGGGUUCAAUCCCCCGUGCCCCUG